UGUUAAAACUUUCGUUCAUUUGCAUUGUUAAAAAUUAGUAUGACUGAUGGAAAAAUUAGAUAGUGACAUGUGGUAUACCUGUGCACCUCAUAUUGAUGUACAAAUAUCAAUUUUUAACAAUAGAAGUUGAUGGAACUUUUAACA
rfam:Gossypium raimondii Chr11_contig_1358, whole genome shotgun sequence.